CUGGGAUAAUGAAAAGCUGGUACCAUGGAUCUGUCUCUUGCCCAGUGGGGCGAGCUGGGCCCUCCCUGGAGAAGAAACCUGGGUUUCACAAGUUAUGUGAUCAAUGCUGGGGCCGUGCCAGCAUGCGAGGGGAUCCCAAGGCAGGUGCUGGGCAUGCAGGCCACAGAGGAAUAGGCUUCCAAGGAGACAGAACUGAACCUCACAUCACCCUGCUUGGCCCCAGAGGAUGGCUGUUUAGCCAGAGACAGGUACGAUUCCACAGGGAAGGAACAACCUAAGAUAGGCACAGCACAGAGGGGCCAUCAGGAGAGAACUUGGGGUU